rnacentral:rRNA from 1 species
AUUGAACGCUGGCGGCAGGCCUAACACAUGCAAGUCGAGCGGAUGAAGGGAGCUUGCUCCUGGAUUCAGCGGCGGACGGGUGAGUAAUGCCUAGGAAUCUGCCUGGUAGUGGGGGAUAACGUCCGGAAACGGGCGCUAAUACCGCAUACGUCCUGAGGGAGAAAGUGGGGGAUCUUCGGACCUCACGCUAUCAGAUGAGCCUAGGUCGGAUUAGCUAGUUGGUGGGGUAAAGGCCUACCAAGGCGACGAUCCGUAACUGGUCUGAGAGGAUGAUCAGUCACACUGGAACUGAGACACGGUCCAGACUCCUACGGGAGGCAGCAGUGGGGAAUAUUGGACAAUGGGCGAAAGCCUGAUCCAGCCAGGCCGCGUGUGUGAAGAAGGUCUUCGGAUUUUAAAGCACUUUAAGUUGGGAGGAAGGGCAGUAAGUUAAUACCUUGCUGUUUUGACGUUACCAACAGAAUAAGCACCGGCUAACUUCGUG